ensembl:lncRNA
GACAAUUGAUAGCAGCCAUUAGCGAAUGAUUAGGCAGACAGUGAUAAACUAUAUUUCAUCGAUUUGCCCCAGCUACAUUUCCGACUUCUGCAGAGGGUAUGAAUAAAUUCACCUCUAAAUCUGUAAUGCAUGACUUUAUAUUCAUAAUUUCCACAAGACGGGCUGCCGGGCUCCGGGCUUUCUCUCAUGUGUGGAAUGAGCUGGCAGCUUGUCAAUGUCGUACAUUCUUAGUGUGUGUUUGGUGCCAAAUCAUAAAUGGCUGUUUUUCAUCCAAAUAUGGCCGGUCUUGGGUCUUGGGCCUUCUAAUGAGAGAGAGAGAGAGAUUUUUUAAAGGGAUAUGUCCUCCCCUGCUCUUCAUCCGUAUGCAUGUGGGGUGGUGUGUGAUGGUCCAUUCAUUUCAAAGCUUUUUUUUUUAUUUUUCCUUUUUUCUUCAUUACUCCCCAUUAGUGGCUGUGUGUUGUCACUCGAGCCAUCUGUGGCGUUUCUAAUCUGUUUGUUUAGCAUUGCACAUGUCCCCUUACGUGUUGUUUUGGAGAUCCAUGUGUUGCAUGCAUAAAUAUGAAGACAAAAGAAGAACUGUUCUAAUAGCCAAACGCCUAGUAGAGGCCAUCGCCCAUCCCCCACCUCUCCUAUCAAGACUCAUUACAUGGACAUUUUAUAUGGAUCGAGUAUGGAUUGUUGUGCUGAAUUCUGUAAGUGGUGUUACUGAAAAUAAAAAUGCACAUCAGCAGUAGAGUAAGUGCUAUAUUGGCCUCGAAAUAAGCACUUGUUUUUGCUCCACAUGGAGUAAACACCAAAAUGCAUUAACUUGAGGGUGCCUGCCUGCAUGGGGAAGAGAGUCUCACAACAGUGUCCAUGUUCCUGGGCCAUAUGGAACCUUGUAAUCAAAUAGACCGUGACCUUGGAGGUGAGAGGCGCAAACUUAAUUUUGCCGCUCGCGGUGCUGCCCCCUGGCCUUUGACCUUCCAACCCAACACACUUUGGAUUCAUUUAUUUAAUUUGCACGGGCCAGACAAAAGGGGUCUUUCAGUUCACCCAUCAAAGAAUCUUCUGGAACAUGGGAGGGAGGAAAGGGGUGGGGG